rnacentral:rRNA from 1 species
AUUGAACGCUGGCGGCACGCCUUACACAUGCAAGUCGAACGGUAACAGGUCUUCGGAUGCUGACGAGUGGCGAACGGGUGAGUAAUACAUCGGAACGUGCCUAGUAGUGGGGGAUAACUACUCGAAAGAGUGGCUAAUACCGCAUGAGAUCUACGAAUGAAAGCAGGGGAUCGCAAGACCUUGUGCUACUAGAGCGGCCGAUGGCAGAUUAGGUAGUUGGUGGGAUAAAAGCUUACCAAGCCGACGAUCUGUAGCUGGUCUGAGAGGACGAUCAGCCACACUGGGACUGAGACACGGCCCAGACUCCUACGGGAGGCAGCAGUGGGGAAUUUUGGACAAUGGGCGAAAGCCUGAUCCAGCAAUGCCGCGUGCAGGAUGAAGGCCUUCGGGUUGUAAACUGCUUUUGUACGGAACGAAAAGCCCCGGGUUAAUACCCUGGGGUCAUGACGGUACCGUAAGAAUAAGCACCGGCUAACUACGUGCCAGCCGCCGCGGUAA